rnacentral:rRNA from 1 species
CUAACACAUGCAAGUCGCACGGUCAGCAAUGGCAGUGGCGGACGGGUGAGUAACACGUAGGAAUCUAUCCUGGGGUGGGGGACAACAGCGGGAAACUGCUGCUAAUACCGCAUGAUACCUGAGGGUCAAAGGCGCAAGUCGCCUUGGGAGGAGCCUGCGUCUGAUUAGCCUGUUGGUGGGGUAAAGGCCUACCAAGGCGACGAUCAGUAGCUGGUCUGAGAGGAUGAUCAGCCACAUUGGGACUGAGACACGGCCCAAACUCCUACGGGAGGCAGCAGUGGGGAAUAUUGGACAAUGGGGGAAACCCUGAUCCAGCAAUGCCGCGUGUGUGAAGAAGGUCUUCGGAUUGUAAAGCACUUUUGGCAGGGACGAUGAUGACGGUACCUGCAGAAUAAGCCCCGGCUAACUUCGUGCCAGCAGCCGCGGUAAUACGAAGGGGGCUAGCGUUGCUCGGAAUGACUGGGCGUAAAGGGCGCGUAGGCGGCGCGUACAGUCAGAAGUGAAAUUCCUGGGCUCAACCUGGGGACUGCUUUUGAUACGUGCGUGCUUGAGUGAGGAAGAGGGUUGUGGAAUUUCCAGUGUAGAGGUGAAAUUCGUAGAUAUUGGAAAGAACACCGGUGGCGAAGGCGGCAACCUGGUCCUUUACUGACGCUGAGGCGCGAAAGCGUGGGGAGCAAACAGGAUUAGAUACCCUGGUAGUCCACGCUGUAAACGAUGUGUGCUGGAUGUUGGGAAACUUAGUUUUUCAGUGUCGUAGCUAACGCGAUAAGCACACCGCCUGGGGAGUACGGCCGCAAGGUUGAAACUCAAAGGAAUUGACGGGGGCCCGCACAAGCGGUGGAGCAUGUGGU